GGCGAAAGCGGCUCUCUGNUCUGUAACUGACGCUGUGGCUCGAAAGCGUGGGGAGCGAACAGGAUUAGAUACCCUGGUANUCCACGCCGUAAACGAUGAGUGCUAGGUGUUGGAUCCUUUCCGGGAUUCAGUGCCGCAGCUAACGCAUUAAGCACUCCGCCUGGGGAGUACGACCGCAAGGUUGAAACUCAAAGGAAUUGACGGGGGCCCGCACAAGCGGUGGAGCAUGUGGUUUAAUUCGAAGCAACGCGAAGAACCUUACCAGGUCUUGACAUCCCGAUGCUAUUUCUAGAGAUAGAAAGUUACUUCGGUACAUCGGUGACAGGUGGUGCAUGGUUGUCGUCAGCUCGUGUCGUGAGAUGUUGGGUUAAGUCNNGCAACGAGCGCAACCCCUAUUGUUAGUUGCCAUCAUUCAGUUGGGCACUCUAGCGAGACUGCCGGUAAUAAACCGGAGGAAGGUGGGGAUGACGUCAAAUCAUCAUGCCCCUUAUGACCUGGGCUACACACGUGCUACAAUGGUUGGUACAACGAGUUGCGAGUCGGUGACGGCAAGCUAAUCUCUUAAAGCCAAUCUCAGUUCGGAUUGUAGGCUGCAACU
rnacentral:rRNA from 1 species